rnacentral:guide_RNA from 1 species
UAAAACAACAACUAAAUGAUAAAGAUUUGAGUGACGAUAU